UUGGGAAAGGGAGGCUGAAGAUCUGCUUCCCCUGAGAGACAAGCAAUUUUCAACGAUGUAAAACACAAGCUACGUCUGCACUGCAGUGGCCAAAGAGCAAGCAGUAGAGUGUCAUGAGACAGGACUGUUGUCCUGGAAACAUCUUUUUUUAAAAUAACAACUUAACAAGCCUAACGCAGUGAGCCCCUACCUCUAAACAGCCGUAGCUUGAGAAGACAUGUGGGAUAUAUACUUAUCCACGGCUUGACCAUUUCCCCAGAUGACAUUACUGUGAAGUUUGCAUAAGUCAUCUGAGACUGAUAACAAGGACACUGUGCCACAGCAACGACAGACAACAAAUCUGGGGAAGUUUGAGGACACACCCUCCGGCUGGGUGGUUGGCAAAGGGAGGCUGAAGAGCCUGCUUCCCUUGAGAGACAAGCAUGUGCUACCCUGUUCUCAAAUAUUUCAGUUAUUCAUGGUCAUGUGGCUGUGCAUAUGGAGGAAAACAGAAAAAAAAUGUCACAGGAAAUGUACCUUCUGUUCCCAUUGUAUCUGAAGAUGAGCCAUUCAUACAACUUGGAUGUAGAUACUUCCUUACAUGUACCUUGAGCAACCCAAGAAAUUUGGGCAGGUUUCCAUGCUAUGACAACACAUUUGCUUAGAGACCAAGCAGCCCAGUGGAGAAAGCGAGAAGUAAGUUUUCUUUCAUUUUCAUUUUAAUCCUUUGGUGCUGGAUGUAGAACCCAUGGCCUCCUUGCAUGUUAUCUGUCCUCCGUUGAGUGGCUCAGAAGAUAAAGACUCUUGCCACCAAGCCUCAGUUCAAUUCCUGGGACCCACAUGGUGGAAGGAGAGAAUCAAUUCCUGAAAGCUGUCCAGUGACACCCCCAAAACACCAUUAAAUAAAUAAAUAAACACUUCAAGAGGAGAUGAGUGAAAGCUGCUUGUCCAUUAGAAUAUUCAAUGGAAGACUUCCGUUGACUACUCUAGUAUCAGUUCUAGCAGCUGGCAUCCGAGCUCAGAGUACCAGCAUGUACAAAAAAGGUCUGGUUUCCAGUUCAGAUCUGCCUGUCUUCUUCCUGUGCCCUAGCAAGCUAAAGAGGAUGAGGCAGUGCUCUGCGAAAGCAGGUUCUUGGCUCAAUUUUCCAGGACGCAUGAUGGGACCAAACUGUACGUCACUAUGUGGAAAUGCACAACCAUAAAUUCUGCUCUCUCUGGAAUGGAACAACAGAUUUAUUCUUGAGCUAGAUAACUGUGAUCACAGUAAGAACACAGAGUUGACACGAUCGACUACUCUCCCUAUACCGUAUACUGCAGUCUAAUCCUCCUCUGCUUUCAAAUCCAGGUCAGAAAGCAAGUUUGUUUUUAACAGUUUCACCAAGACCAUCAAAAUAACCUUUUACAAAAACAACUGUUGG